AGGAUGUGGUUUUGCAGCUUAAAUGCCUUGCUCCCCAUGAGCUCGGGGCCAUGGGUUGGAGAGACAUGAUUCCUCCGUGGCCGUCAGCAAAAAGACCCUGCAAUUUGGCAUACUUUUGUCUUGGUGUUGAUUUUCUGCUCGCUCCGGUGCUACAAUAUGAAGAAAGAUAAAAAGAAAUAAGGAAUACUAUAAUGCUGUAAUCCAGCAAAAAUUUCUUCCAUUUGGAAAAUAACAAUCUAGUAUUUCUUUGACUGGCUAAAGGAUAUAUUUUUUAUUAUCCAUUUUUUAUGGAGACAUUAUUGGGCACUAUUAAAAGAAAAUAUGUCAACAUGAAAUGCAUGGAUCUCCAGUGAUCUGACUUCACUUUCUGCCUGUUAAAAUAUCUGUCUGUAAAUUGACUCCAUUCUCAGACAGCCUGUUCCCUUGAGGUCUCAGGAUUAUUGCCAGUUGCAUCCAGAGACACAGGAUUACUGCCAGCUGCUUUCAGAGAUGCAAUCUUCCAGGUAAGUGUCUGGCAUCAAGAGAAACUAAGUUUCUUAGUUUCUAAGAAUCAGGUAAAAUCUUGGAUCUGACCCUCCCUUAAUAGAAUUGGGCUUCUUGCUUAUCCCUUAAGAAUCCCCUUAGCCAUUGUAUGCGUGAUUAGCUUAGGCCAAUCAAGGCUUCUCUGGGACAUAAGGGGGUGUUGCAACCAGCCAAAUCCAAAUGGGCUUAAAGUGAAGAAAGGAUAGGCUUUCUUGAAAAUUCAGGGGCAUGUCUUCAGUUGAAAAGUUAAAACCCAUAAAAUCUACUGCAUUUCACUUCUUUUUUUUUUCUUUUUUUGCCUUUUGAGUGGACUCUUAAUGAGCUUAAUUUACAAGACAUUUCUGAAAACAAAGAAUAAUUGUAUUCUAAGCCACACAUCCUACAAAGAUGGAGAAAGGUUCUCUUUUGUAGAAAUCUUUUAAUUUGAAUCAGGCAGAAAGUGUUAUUUAAAAUAUGGAGAAAAUAUCUCUUCUUUCCCUCUUCCUUAAAACAGA